rnacentral:misc_RNA from 1 species
AAAGUCGUAACAAGGUUUCCGUAGGUGAACCUGCGGAAGGAUCAUUAAAAAAGGGUCGAAAGAUCUAUUUCUACUGAAACUCUACUACCUUUAGGGGAUAGUGGAUGUUUCUUUAAAAAUCCAAUAAAAAAUAUCGUCUUUAGACGAACCAAAAAUAAAAUUUAAAAAACUUUCAACAAUGGAUCUCUUGGCUCUC